CGAUUUUAGCCAUGCUAGUUGCGCGAGUUCAGACUCGCAGCAGAUAGCUCAGUAACACGUGGUCAAGCUACCCUGCAGACACGGACAACCUCGGGAAACUGAGGCUAAUCCGCGAUACCGAUCCCACGCUGGAAUGCCGGGAUCCACAAACGCUCCGGCGCUGCAGGAUGCGGCUGCGGCCGAUUAGGUAGACGGUGGGGUAACGGCCCACCGUGCCGAUAAUCGGUACGGGUUGUGAGAGCAAGAGCCCGGAGACGGAAUCUGAGAUAAGAUUCCGGGCCCUACGGGGCGCAGCAGGCGCGAAACCUUUACACUGCACGCAAGUGCGAUAAGGGGACUCCGAGUGCGAGGGCAUAUAGUCCUCGCUUUUGAGAACCGUAAGGUGGUUCUCGAAUAAGAGCUGGGCAAGACCGGUGCCAGCCGCCGCGGUAAUACCGGCAGCUCAAGUGGUGGCCAAUCUUAUUGGGCCUAAAGCGUCCGUAGCUGGCCGUGAAAGUUCGUCGGGAAAUCCAUCCGCUCAACGGAUGGGCGUCCGGCGAAAACUUCACGGCUUGGGACCGGAAGGCUCGAGGGGUACGUCCGGGGUAGGAGUGAAAUCCUGUAAUCCUGGACGGACCGCCGAUGGCGAAAGCACCUCGAGAAGACGGAUCCGACAGUGAGGGACGAAAGCUAGGGUCUCGAACCGGAUUAGAUACCCGGGUAGUCCUAGCCGUAAACGAUGUUCACUAGGUGUGGCACAGGCUACGAGCCUGUGCUGUGCCGUAGGGAAGCCGAGAAGUGAACCGCCUGGGAAGUACGUCCGCAAGGAUGAAACUUAAAGGAAUUGGCGGGGGAGCACUACAACCGGAGGAGCCUGCGGUUUAAUUGGACUCAACGCCGGACAUCUCACCAGCUCCGACUACAGUAAUGACGGUCAGGUUGAUGACCUUACCACGAGCUGUAGAGAGGAGGUGCAUGGCCGCCGUCAGCUCGUACCGUGGAGUCGUCUUGUUAAGUCAGGCAACGAGCGAGACCCACGCACCUAAUUGCCAGCAGCAGUUACGACUGGCUGGGUACAUUAGUGGACUGCCAGUGCCAA
rnacentral:rRNA from 1 species